AACGAACGCUGGCGGCAUGCCUAACACAUGCAAGUCGAACGAGACCUUCGGGUCUAGUGGCGCACGGGUGCGUAACGCGUGGGAACCUGCCCUUAGGUUCGGCAUAACUCCCCGAAAGGGGUGCUAAUACCGGAUAAUGUCUUCGGACCAAAGAUUUAUCGCCUUUGGAUGGGCCCGCGUUGGAUUAGCUAGUUGGUAGGGUAAAAGCCUACCAAGGCGACGAUCCAUAGCUGGUCUGAGAGGAGGAUCAGCCACACUGGGACUGAGACACGGCCCAGACUCCUACGGGAGGCAGCAGUGGGGAAUAUUGGACAAUGGGCGAAAGGCUGAGACAGCAAGGCCGCGUGAGUGAUGAAGGCCUUAGGGUUGUAAAGCGCUUUUAACCGGGAUGAUAAUGACAGUACCGGGAGAAUAAGCGCCGGCUAACUCCGUG
rnacentral:rRNA from 1 species